GAUGAACGCUGGCGGCGUGCCUAAUACAUGCAAGUCGAGCGAAUGGAUUAAGAGCUUGCUCUUAUGAAGUUAGCGGCGGACGGGUGAGUAACACGUGGGUAACCUGCCCAUAAGACUGGGAUAACUCCGGGAAACCGGGGCUAAUACCGGAUAACAUUUUGAACCGCAUGGUUCGAAAUUGAAAGGCGGCUUCGGCUGUCACUUAUGGAUGGACCCCGGUCGCAUUAGCUAGUUGGUGAGGUAACGGCUCACCAAGGCAACGAUGCGUAGCCGACCUGAGAGGGUGAUCGGCCACACUGGGACUGAGACACGGCCCAGACUCCUACGGGAGGCAGCAGUAGGGAAUCUUCCGCAAUGGACGAAAGUCUGACGGAGCAACGCCGCGUGAGUGAUGAAGGCUCUCGGGUCGUAAAACUCUGUUGUUAGGGAAGAACAAGUGCUAGUUGAAUAAGCUGGCACCUUGACGGUACCUAACCAGAAAGCCACGGCUAACUACGUGCCAGCCGCCGCGGUAA
rnacentral:rRNA from 1 species